UGCCCCCAAAUAACUGGUCUUCCGGAUUUCCUAGUGGACGACUGUUUCAUUGCUCAACUCACGUUUGUGGCAUCAUUCAUCUGUUUGCACAGUCGUCAUGGAUCCCAAACGAACUGUUUCAGAGGGAGAGGAAUUAUCCUCAUCGAAUCCAUCCAAAAAACAGAGAAGAGCUAACUGGACGAGCCGGGAAAUUUGGAUGCUUUUGGAAGAGGUGAAGCUGGAAAGAGAGUGCAUUAUGUGCCCACAGACAAAUGAAACCUCCAAUAAGAAAAAAGCGGUGACAUGGCAGAAGAUAGCUGACCGAUUGACCGCAACUUGUGGUGUUGACAUACGGACAGCGCAGAAUGUAAGAGAAAAGUGGGGGUUCCUUAAAUCUGAUGCCCAGAGCCGCAGGCACAAACAAAAGACCUUAGGUGGGGGUGCAGUGAAAGAAAGUGAAUAUGAUAACAUGAUUCUGGAGAUAAUUGGUGAAGACUCUGCCCUCAUAGAUGGCAUAAAUGUUGAAGGAACAGAGACCUUUAUUCUGCAAACAAAGAUGAAUUGUUCAGCUGAACCUUUAGUGUUGCUUGCAAAAAACAAUGCACCAGUCCAUGAAGAAAAUAUUCCACAGCCACAAGAGGACAUUCCAUUGACCCCAAGCUUCACAGAAAGAGUUCUGGACUUGGAACAUGAUGUUUCACAGAUUUCGAAAGAUGAAGGAUUUCAUCUGUGGUCUCACCUCGGCCCGUGACACUUUGUGAUGAUAACCACUACACUAACUGUACUGGAUCAGUUGGGCCUUGGUCAACAAGGAUUACACCUUCCACUGCCCUCCAGGGACCGUAGCUAUGGAUUGGAGGUAAAAAAAAUGAGAAGAAGAGUGUGCUACAGUAUCCAUUUGCAGAAAGUUCCCUCAUGGAAGAAUUCCUUAAAUCAGAAAUUGAACGGAACAAGUCGAUUGUUGAACUUAACAAGCUCAAAGCCGAAAAGCUAAAG
rnacentral:misc_RNA from 1 species